CCAGCCCGCUCAGAAACUCAAGGAAUUGACGGGGGCCCGCACAAGCGGUGGAGCAUGUGGUUUAAUUCGAUGAUACGCGAGGAACCUUACCUGGGCUCAAAUGUAUGUUGACGUAUUCUGAAAGGGAUACUUCUUCGGACAAUAUACAAGGUGCUGCAUGGUUGUCGUCAGCUCGUGCCGUGAGGUGUCGGGUUAAGUCCCAUAACGAGCGCAACCCCUAUCAUUAGUUGCCAUCAGGUCAAGCUGGGGACUCUAAUGAAACUGCCUACGCAAGUAGUGAGGAAGGUGGGGAUGACGUCAAAUCAGCACGGCCCUUACGUCCAGGGCUACACACGUGCUACAAUGGCCGGUACAAAGGGCAGCUACCUGGUGACAGGAUGCUAAUCUCAAAAGCCGGUCUCAGUUCGGAUCGGAGUCUGCAACCCGACUCCGUGAAGUUGGAUUCGCUAGUAAUCGCGCAUCAGCCAUGGCGCGGUGAAUACGUUCCCGGGCCUU
rnacentral:rRNA from 1 species